AUUGAACGCUGGCGGCAGGCCUAACACAUGCAAGUCGAACGAGUGGCGGACGGGUGAAUAGUGUCUGGGACACUGCCUGAUGGAGGGGGAUAACUUCUGAAAACGUUAGCUAAUACCGCAUACCAUCGGAUGUGCCCAGAUGGGCUUAGCUUGUAGGUGGGGUAACGGCUCACCUAGGCGACGAUCCCUAGCUGGUCUGAGAGGAGGACCAGCCACACGGGAACGGAGACACGGUCCAGACUCCUACGGGAGGCAGCAGGGGGGAAGAUUGCACAAUGGGCGCAAGCCUGAUGCAGCCAUGCCGCGUGUAUGAAGAAGGCCUUCGGGUUGUAAAGUACUUUCAGCGGGGAGGCGUUACCCGCAGAAGAAGCACCGGCUAACUCCGUGCCAGCAGCCGCGGUAAUUC
rnacentral:rRNA from 1 species